rnacentral:rRNA from 1 species
CCUGGUUGAUUCUGCCAGUAGUCAUAUGCUUGUCUCAAAGAUUAAGCCAUGCAUGUCUAAGUAUGAACUAAUUUAGACUGUGAAACUGCGGAUGGCUCAUUAAAUCAGUUAUAGUUUUUUCGAUGGUACCAUACUACUCGGAUAACCGUAGUAAUUCUAGAGCUAAUAUGUGCACCAAAUCUCGACCCUUUGGAAGGGAUGCAUUUUUUAGAUAAAAGGUCAUUGCGGGCUUGCCCGCUUCUCUGGUGAAUCAUGAUAACUUGACAGAUCGCACAGCCCUUGUGCUGGUGAUGCUUCAUUCAAAUUUCUACCCUAUCAACUUUUGAUGGUAGGAUAGAGGCCUACCAUGGUGGUGAUGGGUGAUGCAGAAUUAGGGUUCGAUUCUGGAGAGGGAGACUGAGAAAUGGCUAUCACAUCCAAGGAAGGCAGCAGGCGCACAAAUUACCCAAUCCUCACAAGGGGAGGUAGUGACAAUAAAUAACAAUGUUGGGCUCGUCGAGUUUGGUAAUUGGAAUGAGUGCAAUAUAAAUCGCUUAACGAGGGUCCAUUGGAGGGAAAGUCUAGUGCCAACAGCCAUGGUAAUUCCAGCUCCAAUAGCAUAUAUUUAAGUUGUUGUAGUUAAAAAGCUCAUAGUUGGAUCUUGGGUCAUAAAGGUCAGUGCGCCUACUCGGUGUGCACCUGCUCUUCUGUCCCUUUUGUCGGCAGCGUGCUCCUAGCCUUAAUUGGCUGGGUCAUGGCUCUAGCACUGUUACUUUGAAAAAAUUAAAGUGGUCAAAGCAAGCUUAUGCUCUGAAUACAUUAGCAUGGAAUAACGUGAUAGGAGUCUGGUCCUAUUGUGUUGGCCUUCAAGACCAGAGUAAUGAUUAAUAGGGACUGUCAGUGGCAUUCGUCUUUCAUUGUUAGAGGUGAAAUUAUUGGAUUUAUGAAAGAUGAACCACUGCAAUAGUAUUUGCCAAGGAUGUUUUCAUUAAUCAAGAAUGAAAGUUGGGGACUCGAAGACAAUCAGAUACCGUCCUAGUCUCAACUAUAAACGAUGCCGAACAAGGAUUGACGAAUGUUGCUCUAAGGACUCCACUAGCACCUUCUGAGAAAUCAGAGUGUUUAGGUUCCGGGGGGAGUAUGGUCACAAGGCUGAAACUUAAAGGAAUUGAUGAAAGGGCACCACCAAGAGUGGAACCUGCGGCUUAAUUUGACUCAACAUGGGGAAACUUACUAGGUCGAGAAAUAGUAAGGAUUGAAAGAUUGAGAGCUCUUUCUUGAUUCUAUGGGUGGUGGUGCAUGGUCAUUCUUGGUGAAGUGAUUUGUCAGUUAAUUUUGAUAACGAACGAGACCUCAACCUACUAACUAGCUAUGGGGAGGUUCCCUUUUGCGGCUAGCUUCUUAGAGGGACUAUUGCCAUUUAGUCCAUGGAAGUUUGAGGUAAUAACAUGUUUGUGAUGCCCUUAGAUUUUCUGGGCCACACGCGCGCUACACUGAUGCAACCAUCGAGUUUUUCUUCCUGGUUCGAGAGGAUCGGGAAAUCUUCUCAAAUUACAUCAUGAUGGGGAUAGACCAUUGCAAUUAUUGGUCUUCAAUGAGGAAUUCCUAGUAAGCGUGUGUAAUCAACUCGUGUUGACUACGUCCCUGCCCUUUGUACACACCACCCAUCACUUCUACCAAUUGAAUGAUCCGGUAAAGUGUUUGGAUUGUGUCGACGAUGGUGGUUCGCCACCGUCGACGUUGUGAGAAGUUCAUUGAACUUUAUCAUUUAGAGGAAGGAGAAGUCGUAACAAGGUUAAUGUAUGUGAACCUGCAAUAG